rnacentral:sRNA from 1 species
GAACACACCAGUCUGGAAAAAUGAAGCCAGCCAGGUUCAGUGUGGGUGGAGUCUCCCACCAGGGAUCCCACCCUAGCACUAACCAGGGUUGAGGUGCUGGGGAAAAUGAAAAGCAUUGGUGUCUUUCUGACCCACCUAGGUUGUCUUAGUCUUUGCUCUCAGCAUCGGUGCACUUGUAAUAUACUUCAUAGAUUCGUCAAAGUGAGUAUUCAAAUAUACUUUCUUGCCCUCGUUUCAUAAACAAUCAUGAGCCUUUACAUUGAUCCAUUUAUUUACCUUGACACCAACCUUUGCAAGACCUUCUGAGUGCAGAAGAUUUUGGAGGAAGCUAGGGCUGUACUGUACUGAUUUUCUAAAUGGGAAAGAAAGUUCUCAGAAGGAAGGCUAUUUUGAGUCUGCUGGCAUAGGAGGGUGAGGUAUAUGAGGUCAAGUCUUCUUGCUGGGUAUUACUUAUUUUUAAAGAGCUGUUUCCUGAUGAUGUAUUUGCACUGAAGAUGUCAAGUAGUUAAGAUGACUUGAUGGGAAUUUGCAACUUCUGGGAGGGUGACAGUUUCCCCCAGAUGAGGGUCUGAGCCAUUCUUGCUAUGGUUGUAGGAUCCUUUUCUCAAUUGGGUUUCCAGUGCUUUGAUCUUACUGGAGGUCAGAUUAGAAAGCAUGGUGCUAUCCUUUCACCUGCCAAUCGGGUAUUCAGCUGAAGCAUUGCACGCUGGUGCUUCUUGACUUGUGAAGGUAAGGAGAUGGAUGGAGGAGUUCAUCAUGACCCCCAGAGGUGGAGGCCCUGGCCAUUUGAGGACUUCUAGAGUGGACACUCAUGCAGACUCCUUGGGUGCCAGCCGAAUGGACUGGUGCUCCAGAGUGAGCCUGGUGACAGAUGAUAAAGACCUUGCAGAAGGAUGAAGAGGGCACAGACUAGAACUGCAACGUUGCAGCCAGUUCUGCCCUGAUUCCUGCAGGUGCCAACCCUGAGGAAAUAAUUUGUUCCAACUAUACUAUUGCAAUCAUGAAGUUGAUGGCAUCUGGGAAACAAGCUGGAAUCUAACUCAUUUUCUGUUGUGGCGUGAACUUGGCAACUCUGGUGACAAUGGCCUUGAGCUUGUUGCCUUUAUUGUCCACUGUGUGAGUGUUUUGAACUUUAAACUCUAUCCCUGGCAUGGUUGGCUACUAGACUUUGAUACUAGGAAACUUGCUUGGUGUGCCUGUUGGCUCAGACUCUGGUGUGCCUGAAUUCUGAGCUUAGCACUCCUUUCCUGUGGCUUGGGAUGGUGGUAAUUUCAUGCACAGCUAAACUCAGAAUUUCUCAGAGCCAUCUGGUCACCGGCCAAGGAUUUUGUGCAUUUGGGUGGAGAGGCCAAAAUGUCAGUCAGGGAAAACAAAGCAAAUAUCUCCUUUAAUAACCUGUCUCUGGGAAUCAGCCGAGUUCAAGCCUAUCAGAGGUCCUUCAGCCCACCCCACAUGCGAGGCUGGGCUGCCCUCACCCAUCUCAGAUGGAGAGUCCUUUAAACGCUGUCAGGAGACAAGAUUCCACAUGCUCCCUCCAUCAGCUCUCCCGAGCCAAGAAAGAGAAGAGCUUGUUUAAGUUUGGAAGACUCCCAUUGGCAUGUCAUUGAAGGUAAGCCCCCUUUUAAAUAUUUACUCUUAAUGAUUCUGGACCCUAUUUGUAUUGAACUGAAGAUCCUCUAAAGCCCCUGGUCUUAUUUCUCCAAUCUCUCUCCAGGGGUGUUCUUACAUGUCGUGGGGUGCAGACCCUGCCAACUUCCAUGCUGAGACUCAGGAAAGAGGUUUGGGCUUGAAGCUUGUGUGUCCCAGAGAAAGAAAACCCUAAUGUGGAGGUGAGUGUGUUGAUGGGUUAGAAGUCCAGAUGCCU